rnacentral:tRNA from 1 species
GGGCCGUUAGCUCAGCUGGUAGAGCAUCGGACUUUUAAUCCGCUGGUCCUAGGUUCGAAUCCUAGACGGCCCA